rnacentral:rRNA from 1 species
GUGGGGAAUAUUCCGCAAUGGACGAAAGUCUGACGGAGCAACGCCGCGUGAGUGAUGAAGGUUUUCGGACUGUAAAGCUCUGUUGUUUAGGACGAAAGUGCCUGUUGCAAAUAGUUACAGGUAUUGACGGUACUGAACGAGGAAGCCACGGCUAACUACGUGCCAGCAGCCGCGGUAAUACGUAGGUGGCAAGCGUUGUCCGGAAUUAUUGGGCGUAAAGAGCAUGUAGGCGGGAAUCUAAGUCUGUUGUGAAAAUGCGGGGCUCAACCCCGUAUUGCGAUGGAAACUGGGUUUCUUGAGUGCAGGAGAGGAGAGGGGAAUUCCCAGUGUAGCGGUGAAAUGCGUAGAUAUUGGGAGGAACACCAGUGGCGAAGGCGCCUGUCUGGACUGUGUCUGACGCUGAGAUGCGAAAGCCAGGGUAGCGAACGGGAUUAGAAACCCUUGUAGUCC